UACGUAGGGUGCGAGCGUUAAUCGGAAUUACUGGGCGUAAAGCGUGCGCAGGCGGUUUUUGUAAGACAGAUGUGAAAUCCCCGGGCCACCACGGUGGAACUGCGUUUGUGACUGCAAGACUUGAGUAUGGCAGAGGGGGGGUAGAAUUCCACGUGUAGCAGUGAAAUGCGUAGAGAUGUGGAGGAAUACCGAUGGCGAAGGCAGC
rnacentral:rRNA from 1 species